rnacentral:rRNA from 1 species
AGUGAACGCUGGCGGCAGGCCUAACACAUGCAAGUCGAGCGGCAGCGGGUCCCCGCGAGGGGAUGCCGGCGAGCGGCGGACGGGUGAGGAACACAUCGGAAUCUGCCUGGUUGUGGGGGAUAACGUAGGGAAACUUACGCUAAUACCGCAUGCGACCCUGAGUCGACGGACUUGGGGUGAAAGUGAGGGACCUUCGGGCCUCACGCGACCAGAUGAGCCGAUGUCGGAUAGCUAGUUGGCGGGGUAACGGCCCGCCAAGGCGACGAUCCGUAGCUGGUCUGAGAGGAUGAUCAGCCACACUGGGACU